AGUAAAAUCCAUUGUGUCAUUUUAGAUUUGGGCCCGUGAAGCCGUUUGGAUGUCGAACUUCUUUCCUUUCUUCUUCGACGAGGCUGCGAGGCAUAGAUGAAGGCGAGAGGCGCUGGUAGAAAACGUCGAUCAGUCUAACUGAUCCCACGGAUGCUCAUCAUCAAUUUCAGGGGAGCUCGCAAAAAAUGGUUCUACCGCUACUAGCAGGACUAGCUGUUGCUGCAGCUGCUCUUGCUGGUAGAUAUGGAAUCCAAGCUUGGCACGCAUACAAGGCACGGCCAGCUGUUCCCCGGGUGCGCAAGUUUUAUGAAGGCGGCUUCCAGCCUACCAUGACUAAAAGGGAAGCUGCUUUGAUUCUGGGAAUUAGGGAAAAUGCCACACCAGAGAAAGUAAAAGAAGCGCACAAGAAGGUGAUGGUUGCUAAUCAUCCAGAUGCAGGGGGAAGUCAUUACCUUGCUUCAAAAAUUAAUGAGGCAAAGGAUGUGAUGCUUGGGAAGACCAAGGGUGGUGGUUCUGCAUUUUGAUUUUUUCUUGUGUUGGAUAUUCUGCAUUGGCCCUUCUGUCAAAGCAAGACUGUGAGUGGAUCUUAAUGAUCUGAUUGUUUUGAGUAUGGAAUUUGAUCUUCUUUGACCCAAGGGUUAAAAAGAACUGUCUUAGGACCUGACUAGGCACCAUGAUAGAUCUAGUGAUAUAUAGAUUGGUGGAGGCAGGUCGUUUGGAAAUUCUGCUUCGCAUUCUGGGACUACAGUGUAAAGAUUAUACAGCCCAGAAGUUCAUUUUGUACUUAUUUUUUUGGGCAGAUACAGAUUUUCACCAUUUUGACCAAGCAGGCUAGAAUUGCACUUUGAACAACAGAUAGAAUGGAGAGUAAACGUUCAUCAACAAAGAAGAAACAAACAAAGCCUGAUAGGUUUAGCACUAGUCAUAAGAGAAAUUGGAGGACUAAAUGCUAAAUGACAGGAGAUUGUUGCAGUCACAGACAAUGGAGACCGGGAGAGCAACCCAAUGAAGAGAGGACACUAUCAUUUGUGGAUUGCAACACAAAAUUAUCAGCAUCGUUCAUACAAACUUGUAUUAUAUCGUAUAGAAGACGUUUUUCUGAUGAAGUGGGAGGUUAGACCACAAGGUUUUAAUUGGAAGAAAGUUUAGGACAAAAGUUACACGAGGUAUCAACCAGCCAAAUAUUCAACAUAUGAUUUUGGCUUCUGGGAAUGUCCUUGUUAUUAUGUUUUUUUUUUCCUUGAUCAGUUGAUUGUAAACUUUUGCCCGUAGAAUUUUCCAUUAUGAAUGUAGUCCAAGUCGAGUUCUGAUUAGACUGGUUUUCAGUAUGCUU